rnacentral:rRNA from 1 species
AACGAACGCUGGCGGCAGGCCUAACACAUGCAAGUCGAACGGGUGUAGCAAUACAUCAGUGGCGCACGGGAGAGUAACGCGUGGGAACCUACCUUUUGGUUCGGAAUAACUCAGGGAAACUUGUGCUAAUACCGAAUGUGCCCUUCGGGGGAAAGAUUUAUCGCCUUUAGAGCGGCCCGCGUCUGAUUAGCUAGUUGGUGAGGUAAAGGCUCACCAAGGCGACGAUCAGUAGCUGGUCUGAGAGGAUGAUCAGCCACAUUGGGACUGAGACACGGCCCAAACUCCUACGGGAGGCAGCAGUGGGGAAUCUUGCGCAAUGGGCGAAGGCCUGACGCAGCCAUGCCGCGUGAAUGAUGAAGGUCUUAGGAUUGUAAAAUUCUUUCACCGGGGACGAUAAUGACGGUACCCGGAGAAGAAGCCCCGGCUAACUUCGUGCCAGCCGCCGCCGUAA